GACGAACGCUGGCGGCGUGCUUAACACAUGCAAGUCGAACGGUGAUGCUUCAGCUUGCUGGAGUGGAUCAGUGGCGAACGGGUGAGUAACACGUGAGCAACCUGCCCCAGACUCUGGAAUAAGCGCUGGAAACGGCGUCUAAUACUGGAUACGAAACUGGCCCGCAUGGGCAUGGUUUGGAAAGUUUUUCGGUUUGGGAUGGGCUCGCGGCCUAUCAGCUUGUUGGUGAGGUAAUGGCUCACCAAGGCGACGACGGGUAGCCGGCCUGAGAGGGCGACCGGCCACACUGGGACUGAGACACGGCCCAGACUCCUACGGGAGGCAGCAGUGGGGAAUAUUGCACAAUGGGCGAAAGCCUGAUGCAGCGACGCCGCGUGAGGGAUGACGGCCUUCGGGUUGUAAACCUCUUUCAGCAGGGAAGAAGCGAAAGUGACGGUACCUGCAGAAGAAGCACCGGCUAACUACGUG
rnacentral:rRNA from 1 species